rnacentral:lncRNA from 1 species
GGGGGCAGUAGUGCUGUGUGUGGUGAUGGAGCAGACGGCAGAGCAGAGCAGAGGAAGACUGUCGUUAAAACACUGGAGGAAUACACCAACAACAUCUCGACACCUGCUGACGGCCAUAUUGUACUCAUACAGGUCCCUCGCUCCAAGUGGGAGAAGGAGGACUACGAAUCAGAGGAAGAGGAAGGAGGGGUCAGGGUUCAACUACUCCGCCCCUUGCUCGCCCCCUCCCUCCCUUUCCCCCCCGGACCCCACGUCGCCGUGACAACGGAGACGGAGGCAGGGCGAUGGAAAGAGAGGGACUGUACCUUUCCCAAGCCGGAGAGAACUAUGUCCCCCUCUAGUGGCAGAGACAGAGAAGACGGCCUGCAGGAUAGGAAACAGUCCGGAGACCACAUACCUACUGAGAAAGACAGAGAGAUGGAGAGGGAGAGAGAUCGGUUAAAGGAAAAGAUGCGGGAGAGAGAGAGGGAGACAGAGCGGGGGAAAGAGAGAGAGAGGGAACACAGCCGCGCUUCUGACAAAGAUAUGGACAGACCGAGAAAGGUUCUCUCUUCCUCUCAGCGUCCGGAGCGAGAGAGGAGAGAGAGAGAAGGAGAGAGGACUGGGGAGAGAGGGAGCGACCACAGCAGUGAGAAGAGCUCGUCUCAGCGGCCGGAGCGAGAGAGGAGGGAGAGAGGAGAGAGGACUGGGGAGAGGACUGGGGAGAGAGGAAGCGACCACAGCAGUGAGAAGAGCUCGUCUCAGCGGCCGGAGCGAGAGAGGAGAGAAGGAGAGAGGACUGGGGAUAGAGGGAGCGACCACAGCAGUGAGAAGAGCUCGUCUCAGCGUCCGGAGAGGGAGAGGAGAGAGAGAGAAGGAGAGAGGACUGGAGAGAGAGGGAGCGACCACAGCAGUGAGAAGAGCUCGUCUCAGCGGCCGGAGCGAGAGAGGAGAGAAGGAGAGAGGACUGGGGAUAGAGGGAGCGACCACAGCAGUGAGAAGAGCUCGUCUCAGCGGCCGGAGCGAGAGAGGAGAGAAGGAGAGAGGACUGGGGAUAGAGGGAGCGACCACAGCAGUGAGAAGAGCUCGUCUCAGCGGCCGGAGCGAGAGAGGAGAGAAGGAGAGAGGACUGGAGAGAGAGGAAGCGACCACAGCAGUGAGAAGAGCUCGUCUCAGCGGCCGGAGCGAGAGAGGAGAGAAGGAGAGAGGACUGGAGAGAGAGGGAGCGACCACAGCAGUGAGAAGAGCUCGUCUCAGCGGCCGGAGCGAGAGAGGAGAGAAGGAGAGAGGACUGGAGAGAGAGGGAGCGACCACAGCAGUGAGAAGAGCUCGUCUUCCUCCUCACACUCUCACUCACGGGAUCGUAAACCUUUAUCUUCUUCCAGGGACCACAAAGCAACUUCUGACCGUAGACCACCGGACCCCAGAGCCAGGGAGCACAGAGACCACCUCCACCACAAACAUGAAGACAACAACGACCAGAUCUCAUCCACCGUUGGCCGUAACACCGACUCUACUGACCGUAGACCACCGGGAGACCACCGGGAGACCACCGGGGAGCUAGGCGGUGCCUCGCCCGUCUCCAAGAGCGACCAACCCCCAUCUGACCCUUCCUCUUCCUCCUCCUCCUCCACUCAGAGAUCUCAGGGAGGGUCUGAGCCCACCAGACCCAGCGAGAGCAGCCCUGGCAGGGACACGACGCAGGAUAUAUACGGCUCCAUGGAGAACCAGCCCGGGAGGGGAAAGGCUGAGGGAGAAGAGCCCAGAGCAGAGAGCUUCUCGGCGGGGAGACAGAGCCAGCAGGCCAGCCUAGGAACCCUAGAGAAGGAGACGAGUGGUGGAAAGCCCCAACAACACCCGGCCUCACUCCUACAGCCCCCAGGACUGACAACAGGGCAGGGGUGCCCCGAGCUGUCAGAGAGAGAGAGAGAAAGAAAGAGAGAGAGUGGCAGAUACAAAAGAUGAGGGAGAAGAUGGAGAAGGAGAGAGAGAAAGGGGUGGAUAGGGAGAAGGAGAGAGAGAAGGGGGUGGAUAGGGAGAAGGAGAGAGAGAAAGGGGUGGCUAGGGAGAAGGAGAAAGGGGUGGAUAGGGAGAAGGAGAGAGAGAAAGGGGUGGAUAGGGAGAAGGAGAGAGAGAAGGGGGUGGAUAGGGAGAAGGAGAGAGAGAAGGGGGUGGAUAGGGAGAAGGAGAGAGAGAAAGGGGUGGAUAGGGAGAAGGAGAGAGAGAAAGGGGUGGAUAGGGAGAAGGAGAGAGAGAAGGGGGUGGAUAGGGAGAAGGAGAGAGAGAAAGGGGUGGAUAGGGAGAAGGAGAGAGAGAAAGGGGUGGAUAGGGAGAAGGAGAGAGAGACAGAGCACCCUAAAGCCAGACCUCCUCCCUCGGUCCAUUCUUCCAAACCUUCCACGUUCCAUUCUUCCAAACCUCCUCCCUCGGUCCCUUCUUCUAGACCUCCUUCUGACCUGGUCAGAGAGACAGAUGAGGCAGCCUUCGAACCGGACUACAGCGAGGGAGAGAUCUCAGAGGGGGAGGAGGAGGAAGGAGAGAAAAAAGUGGGCGGACAGCGAGCGGUGGAGGGAGAGCCAGCGGUGCAUGGGGGCAGCAGCAGAAGUCGUAGCAGCAGCGCCAGCUCUGUCGGUAGCCUGGGCAACAAGAAAGACAAGAAGAAGAAGAAAGAUAAAAAAGAGAAGAAGAAAGAGAAGAAGAAACAGAAGAAAGACAGAAAGCAGAAGAGACUGGAGGCUGAGGAGGGAGAGAUCGCAGGACUGAAACACAAACACAAGAAGAAGAAGAACAAGGACAAUAACAGAGAGAGAGAAGAGGAGGAGGAGAGAAGAGGCGAAGACCAAAUGUCUAGCGUAGCCUUAUGAGACAUUUCGUCGUGAAGCGUUUUUUUCCACACGUUUCAGCCCAAGGCUCGUGGCCCAAACCUUAUUCCCUAACUAGUGCACGACUUUAAGGCUCGUGGCCCAAACCUAGUGCACUAAGAAGGGAAUUGGGCGCCAUUUCGGAGGAAAGAUAUUUGGUUUCCUUCCGAGCCUCCUGUCAGUGAACUGUAAAGGUCUCAAAGAGGCGUCACACAGCCUCUGCAUUCCAAAUACCAUCCUAUUCCCUAUAUAGGGCACUACUUUUGACGAGGGCCCAUAUUCCCUAUAAUAAUAGGGCACUAUGUAGGGAAUGUGGGUGUCAUUUGUGACGGGACCCCGUAGUGAAGACCAUAAGAGGACUCUGCAAGCUUGUUCACUUUAGUUCAACACUUUGUUUGGGGGGUUUUGUUAUUUUUUAUUUUUUUUGCUGAGGAUUUGAAUUAAUUUAAUGAAUUUAAGGCUGAUGUAUAAAAUAUUAAUUUUUUUUAGACUCUGCUCAACAUAGGCUGUUGCUUGGACGAGUCAAUUUACUUGAAUAAUGCUUUGAUUUUUAAUUAUUUUUUUUGUGUUUAAAAAAAAAAUGUGUAAUUGCUAAAACCUUGAUUUGUCCCUGUCCCCCACCGUCCUGUCCCCCACCCCAGGUUAUUUUUGAAGAGUUUCUACGACCUGGGAUGCAUCCCAAAUAGCAACCAGUUCCCGAUGUUGUGGACUAUAUACAAGAAUAGUGAACUAUUAUGGACACACACAAUAUACCAUCUUUCAUAUCAGAUAUGUAUUCUCUAGAGUGAAAACGUGUAGGAGGAGGAGGAGGGAAAAAAGCACUAUCGAGAUGUAAAUGACUGUUACUCUGCUGUAAGCAGACUGAGCAAGAGUGACCUAGAGGUAGUUGUUGGCCUAUGUUUUGCAAAAUUACUUCCCCCCCCCCCCCCCUAAAAUUCACCAGAUUUCCCAGAAAUCCCAGGUUGUAGGAUUCACAGAUUUCCUUCUUGAUUUCAGGAAUCUGUGAUUUUUUAUUUUUUUUUUUAUUUUUGUUGUUGUUGUAAAGUUACCAGAAUUGUUCAGCCCCUUAGUGGUAGUUGUGUCUUAUGAUACCUGAAUUAUAUUUACACAAUUCUGACAAUAUGUGAAUAUUGUUGUUCGUUGAGCGCGGACGGGGGUAGAGACACUGGAGGGUGUUAAAGGUCCAUGUCUUGGGUUUAAAAGGUUCCGUGCACUGUGAAGAUUCAUCAAAUUUGUUCCUUUUUAUUUUAAUUUAAAUUUUAUUUUUAGUUUUUGCAAUGACCUCUAUUUAAUUUAAACUACCAGCUGAAUGAACUGAACCGGAGGGACAUUUUUUUAUUUUAUUUUUUUCUCUUGUUUUGAAGAUAAUAAUAAAAUUAAUUCUUGCAACAAAAAAAAAAGAAAAUGUUCUCCAUUUUCUUGUUCUUUCCACCUUUUUUAGUUUUUACCCAGAAAUCAAAAGGGUGCUUCAAAUGUGGAUAACUUUAUAUUAAAGGGUCUGUAAUAAAUCAUUUAUAAACAGUUUGCUCACCUUUUUUUAAAUCAUUGUUACUUC